rnacentral:pre_miRNA from 1 species
AGAGGUAAAAAUUUGAUUUGACUAGUUAAAUACAUCUAGCAAAUCAUUUUUUACUCCCCA